UACUCGAGUGGCGAACGGGUGAGUAACACGUGGGUGAUCUGCCCUGCACUUCGGGAUAAGCUUGGGAAACUGGGUCUAAUACCGGAUAGGAACCAUCUUUAGUGUGGUGGUUGGAAAGUUUUUUCGGUGUAGGAUGAGCUCGCGGCCUAUCAGCUUGUUGGUGGGGUAAUGGCCCACCAAGGCGGCGACGGGUAGCCGGCCUGAGAGGGUGUACGGCCACAUUGGGACUGAGAUACGGCCCAG
rnacentral:rRNA from 1 species